rnacentral:tRNA from 1 species
GGGGAGGUACCCAAGUGGCCAAAGGGAGCUGACUGUAAAUCAGCCGGUAGACACCUUCGGAGGUUCGAAUCCCCCCCUCCCCACCA